rnacentral:rRNA from 1 species
GGAUAGGGGUGAAAGGCCAAUCAAACCCGGAGAUAUCUCGUUCUCCCCGAAAUAGCUUUAGGGCUAGCGUCGCGCGUUCACCGCCGGAGGUAGAGCACCGGAUGGACGAGGGGGCUUCGCCGCCUACCGAAUCCAACCGAACUCCGAAUGCCGGCGGCCCAGAGCGCGGCAGUCAGAGCAUGUGGGCUAAGCUGUGUGCUCGAGAGGGAAACAGCCCGGACCGCCCGCUAAGGUCCCCAAGUUCCAGCCGAGUGGCAAAGGAUGUGCGUCCGCCCAGACAACCAGGAUGUUGGCUUAGAAGCAGCCAUGCAUUCAAAGAGUGCGUAACAGCUCACUGGUCGAGUGGACAUGCGCCGACAAUACACGGGGCUAAGCUGGACACCGAAGCGGCGGGAUUUUGAUUUUCAGAAUCGGUAGGGGAGCUUCCCAUGGGCGGGGAAGCCGCCGGGCGACCGGCGGUGGAGCGCAUGGGAGUGAGAAUGCUGGCAUGAGUAGCGAGAGACGAGAGAGUAACUCGUCCGCCGUGAACCCGAGGUUUCCUGGGCAAGGCUAAUCCUCCCAGGGUCAGUCGGGGGCUAAGGCGAGGCCGGAAGGCGUAGCCGACGCGCAGCAGGCAGACAUUCCUGCACCGCGCACGCGGCGCUACGACCGACGGGGCGACGGAUGGGGGUGGCUCGGCGGGGUUCUGGACGUCCCCGUGAUGGAGCGCGGCCCGCGGACCAGGGAAAUCCGGUCCGCACGAGGGCGAGGCUCCGGACGAAGCGAUCAAGCGAAGCGAGUGAGCCCGAGGUCCCUAGAAAAACCCCUAGGCAGGCGCGUGCGCGCCCGUACCGCAAACCGACACAGGUGGGUGGGUAGAACAUACCGAGGCGAUCGGGUCAACCAUGGUCAAGGAACUCGGCACAAUGGCCCCGUAACUUCGGGAGAAGGGGUGCCCGCGCGUACGUGAACCGGCUUGCCCGGGGAGCGGAGGCGGGCCGCAGUGGAGAGGCCCAAGCGACUGUUUACCAAAAACACAGGACUCUGCAGAAGCCGCAAGGCGACGUAUAGGGUCUGACGCCUGCCCGGUGCCGGAAGGUCACGCGGAGGAGUUAGCGCAUCGCGCGAAGCCCCGAAGCCAAGCCCCGGUAAACGGCGGCCGUAACUAUAACGGUCCUAAGGUAGCGAAAUUCCUUGUCGGGUAAGUUCCGACCUGCACGAAUGGCGUAACGAUUUGGGCGCUGUCUCGACCGUGGACCCGGUGAAAUUGUACUGUUCGUGAAGAUGCGAACUACCCGCGGAAGGACGGAAAGACCCCGUGAACCUUCACUGCAGCUUGGCAUUGGCCGCUGGUCCCGCGUGUAGAGGAUAGGCAGGAGGCAUCGAUCCGGAGGCGCCAGCCCCCGGGGAGCCGCCCUUGGAAUACUGCCCUCGCGCGACCGGCGUCCUAACCCGAGGCCGUCAACCGGCUCGGGGACCGUGCCAGGCGGGCAGUUUGACUGGGGCGGUCGCCUCCUAAAGGGUAACGGAGGCGCGCGAAGGUCCGCUCGGGACGGUCGGCAACCGUCCUUUUGAAUGCAAGAGUACAAGCGGGCUUGACUGCGAGGCCCACAAGCCGAGCAGGUGCGAAAGCAGGCUCUAGUGAUCCGGCGGCCCCGAGUGGGUGGGCCGUCGCUCAACGGAUAAAAGGUACUCCGGGGAUAACAGGCUGAUCUUGCCCAAGAGUCCACAUCGACGGCAAGGUUUGGCACCUCGAUGUCGGCUCAUCGCAUCCUGGGGCUG